rnacentral:misc_RNA from 1 species
UUCUACCUGUCCUGAGCUUUGGG